rnacentral:rRNA from 1 species
AACGAACGCUGGCGGCAUGCCUAACACAUGCAAGUCGAACGAGACCUUCGGGUCUAGUGGCGCACGGGUGCGUAACGCGUGGGAACCUGCCCUUAGGUUCGGAAUAACUCCCCGAAAGGGGUGCUAAUACCGGAUAAUGUCUUCGGACCAAAGAUUUAUUGCCUUUGGAUGGGCCCGCGUUGGAUUAGCUAGUUGGUAGGGUAAAAGCCUACCAAGGCGACGAUCCAUAGCUGGUCUGAGAGGAUGAUCAGCCACACUGGGACUGAGACACGGCCCAGACUCCUACGGGAGGCAGCAGUGGGGAAUAUUGGACAAUGGGCGAAAGGCUGAUCCAGCAAUGCCGCGUGAGUGAUGAAGGCCUUAGGGUUGUAAAGCUCUUUUACCCGGGAUGAUAAUGACAGUACCGGGAGAAUAAGCACCGGCUAACUACGUG